rnacentral:lncRNA from 1 species
UCUCCUUGAGGCAUGUACAGGGGUGGGGGUGGGGGCACUAUUUGGAGGGUUGUCUUUUGAGAUACCCUCCAGAGGUGAAAGCAGGGAAAUGCUUCCUAGCAGACACCUCAACUCAGUGUUCUGCACAGGGUCCUGUCUUUGGACAGCCUGUGCUGGCUGGCUUUCUUUCCCUUGCUUCAUCCCAUCUGUGGGAAGAUUCUAGACAUAGCUGUCUCUUUAAUAGCUUCCUCUGGCAUGUUCCAUUUUCCUAGAGGAUCCCGGAAAGCCAGGGACAUGAAUUAUAAUGAAGGGGUCUCCUCACACUGGAUCACCUCUCUGAAAAGAGACACUGCUAGGGCUGCAGCUCUUAGGCUGGUAGCAAGUUCUGUUCAAUGUUUUUAAAUGAUUUUAAAAAUAGUCUGAUUUCUGUCUUUUUUUUACUGUUCAUAAAGGGUUUUAUUGCUGUGAAGAGACACCAUGACUAUGGCAACUCUUAUAAAGGAAAAGAUUUAAUUGGGGCUGGCUUAUAGUUUCAGAGGUUCAGUCCAUUAUCAUCAUAGUAGGAAGUAUGGCUGCAUGCAGGCAGACAUGGUUCCAAAGAAGGAACUGAGAGUUCUACAUCCUGAACUGAAGGCAACAGGAAAGAAACUGUGUGCCACACUGGGCAUAGCUUGAGCAUAGGAAACCUCAAAACCAGCCUCCACUGGGAUACACUUUCAACAAGGCUACACCUCCCCAUGGCCAAGCAUUCAAACGUGUGAGUCUAUGGGGGCCAUUCAU